GCGCCCGUAGCUCAGCUGGAUAGAGCGCUGCCCUCCGGAGGCAGAGGGUCUCAGGUUUCGAAUCCUGUCGGGCGCACCA
rnacentral:tRNA from 1 species